rnacentral:rRNA from 1 species
AGCAGCCGCGGUAAUUCCAGCUCCAAUAGCGUAUAUUAAAGUUGUUGCAGUUAAAAAGCUCGUAGUUGAAUUUCGGGAUUAGUACGCUGGUCAUGCCUUUGGUAUGUACUGGUGUUACUGAUUUCUACCUUCUGAAGAACCGUUAUGUCAUUUAUUUGGUGUGGCGGGGAAUCAGGACUGUUACUUUGAAAAAAUUAGAGUGUUUAAAGCAGGCUCGCGCUUGAAUACAUUAGCAUGGAAUAAUGAAAUAGGACGUUUGACCCUAUUUUGUUGGUUUCUAGGAUCGACGUAAUGAUUAAUAGGGAUAGUUGGGGGCAUUAGUAUUCAAUUGUCAGAGGUGAAAUUCUUGGAUUUAUUGAAGACUAACUACUGCGAAAGCAUUUGCCAAGGAUGUUUUCAUUAAUCAAGAACGAAAGUUAGGGGAUCGAAGACGAUCAGAUACCGUCGUAGUCUUAACCAUAAACUAUGCCGACUAGGGAUCGGAUGAUGUUAUUUUAAUGACUCAUUCGGCGCCUUACGG